rnacentral:rRNA from 1 species
AACGAACGCUGGCGGCAUGCCUAACACAUGCAAGUCGAACGAACCCUUCGGGGUUAGUGGCGCACGGGUGCGUAACGCGUGGGAAUCUGCCCUUUGCUUCGGAAUAACAGUUAGAAAUGACUGCUAAUACCGGAUGAUGUCUUCGGACCAAAGAUUUAUCGGCAAAGGAUGAGCCGGCGUAGGAUUAGGUAGUUGGUGGGGUAAAGGCCCACCAAGCCGACGAUCCUUAGCUGGUCUGAGAGGAUGAUCAGCCACACUGGGACUGAGACACGGCCCAGACUCCUACGGGAGGCAGCAGUGGGGAAUAUUGGACAAUGGACGCAAGUCUGAUCCAGCAAUGCCGCGUGAGUGAUGAAGGCCUUAGGGUUGUAAAGCUCUUUUACCAGGGAUGAUAAUGACAGUACCUGGAGAAUAAGCUCCGGCUAACUCCGUGCCAGCCGCCGCCGUAAAAC